GACGAACGCUGGCGGCGUGCCUAAUACAUGCAAGUUGAGCGCUGAAGGUUGGUACUUGUACCAACUGGAUGAGCAGCGAACGGGUGAGUACCGCGUGGGUAAUCUGCCUUUGAGCGGGGGACAACAUUUGGAAACGAAUGCUAAUACCGCAUAAAAACUUUAAACACAAGGUUUAAGUGUGAAAGACGCAAUUGCAUCACCCAAAGAUGAUCCCGCGUUGUAUUAGCUAGUUGGGGAGGGAAAGGCCCAACAAGGCGAUGAUACAUAGCCGGCCUGAGAGGGUGAUCGGCCACACUGGGACUGAGACACGGCCCAAACUCCUAAGGGAGGGAGCAGUAGGGAAUCUUCGGGAAUGGACGAAAGUCUGAACGAGCAACGCCGCGGGAGUGAAGAAGGGUUUCGGAUCGUAAAAAUCUGUUGGUAGAGAAGAAAGUUGGUGAGAGUGGAAAGCUCAUCAAGUGACGGUAACUAACCAGAAAGGGACGGCUAACUACGUG
rnacentral:rRNA from 1 species